rnacentral:rRNA from 1 species
AACGAACGCUGGCGGCAGGCCUAACACAUGCAAGUCGAGCGAGCAUUUCGGUGCUAGCGGCGGACGGGUGAGUAACGCGUGGGAACGUGCCCUUUUCUGCGGAAUAGUCCUGGGAAACUGGGGGUAAUACCGCAUACGCCCUUUUGGGGAAAGAUUUAUCGGGGAAGGAUCGGCCCGCGUUGGUUUAGGUAGUUUGUGGGGUAAUGGCCCACCAAGCCGACGAUCCAUAGCUGGUUUGAGAGGAUGAUCAGCCACACUGGGACUGAGACACGGCCCAGACUCCUACGGGAGGCAGCAGUGGGGAAUCUUAGACAAUGGGGGAAACCCUGAUCAAGCCAUGCCGCGUGAGUGAUGAAGGCCUUAGGGUUGUAAAGCUCUUUCAGCUGGGAAGAUAAUGACGGUACCAGCAGAAGAAGCCCCGGCUAACUCCGUG